ACAUCGAGUGCUUAUCUAGAUCUGGGAUAAUUUUGAUUUCUUGGUUAAUCUCAUGCAAUAUAUCAUCUUGUGAUUGAUGUUGGCAGUUGUUUCAUGAUUUCCUGUUGCAUCAGUGGCCUGGUGAUUCUCUCAUUUUCGACCAGCACCUUGAGUUCUUAAUACAAUCUGGCUCCAUUGGAGAGUAUAUUUGUUUUUUCAUGAAGGGUUUCCUCACUUUGAUUAUUAAAUUGAUUGUCCUAACUUUUGGCCUUUAUGCUUUUAGUUCAGGUCUUUCUUAGUUUGUUAUUUGUGAUGUUGCAGAAGAGCUUACGCAACUUGGGAAAAUCUUGCUGAAGGGGUAUCUUCAUCUGAUAAUUGAAGGAAGUGCAGAGGACAUGGAAUGCAAUGAUAUGAUUUUUUUUUUUUUACCGAAUAGAGUUUCUAAUCUUGAAAGCGGGGUUCAUUAUGCUUGCUUUUUCGUGUGGUAGCUGUUCAUGUGGAAACAUAAAGGUUAAUUUAUUAUUUGUGCUGUUGCAGUUUAGCUUGUGCUGCAGGAUACAAUUUUGCCCCAUAUUAGCCAAUAUAGAAGGAAUCGUCCUUAUUUAUAUCAGUGUUUGUAUUUGAUGCCUAUAUGUUUUUAAUCACCCUCUUUUCUCAAUAGGGUUUUCUUUUGGGCUCAUAUUUUAGCAAUCCUUUUAUUUGCUUCACCAGAACCUUGAUUUGAUCAGUGAAGGGCGAUACUAGAGGAAUUAGUGUUCAGAAAGGAUUUUUCAUGAUGAGGCUUCCUCUCUUCCCCUGAUAAUCUAAGGGUCACAGUAUGUGGGGCUUGACAUGGGAUGCUAUCUCGAUAAGUGGAUCUGCUGCUUAUAUGCUUUGUCAAGUUUCAUUUCUGUAUUCCAGAAAUCUCAUUCAUUUGUGUUAUUAAUAACCUGGUGAUGUUCUCUCAUUUUUUUGACCAGAACCAUCAGCUCUCAAGACAUCUGGGUGGAUUGGAUCAUGAUAUGUGCUUUUGAGGGAGGGUGUUCCUCAACCUUUAUUAUAGAAUUGGUAAUAUUUCCCAUUUGUUCUUAAACUUAGAGUUCAAGUCAUAGGAUUGGUAGUUCUGAUGUCACAGAGAGCUUGCACCACAUCAGGUUAUCUUGCUCAAGGGCAUCUUUACCUGAUAAUGAAGAUGGUUUGAAGGAAAUGUAAUGAUAUGAUUUUUUAUGGAGGGAGUUUCUCAUCUUUGAUAGACUACUUUUUCAUACACUAGCUGUUCAUGGGGAAUGUUGGAAGUUACUGUAUGGUUUGUGUUGUUGCAGUAACUUUGCUGUAGGUUAUUAUUUUGCCCAUGUGGAAGGGUUUGUCUGUAUUUCUAGCUUGGCCAUUUUCAAGAUUAAUUUAUAAUUUGUCAAUCUUUGUUCUGAGUGCUGAAAGUUUGAGUAACUGGGAUUAAGGAAGGGUUUUUCAUGAAGGUGCUUCCUUCCACAAAUUCUUUAGGAGUCCAUGAUCUCAUUCAUCUCUGUUGAGUUGGGUGACCUUGUGAGCUUCUCUCAUUUGUUUGACUUCCUUGAGCGCUUGAGAGAUUUUGGGUGAAAGAGAGAAGGUAUGUCUUUUUUAACUAUGGAGUGGGUUCCUUAAGCUCAUUAAUUUGUUAUUGCUGGCAUUGCAUAGGAGCUUGUGCAUCAUGGGCAAUCUUGCUCAAGGGUACUCUUGAUCUGAUAAUGGAAAAUGGUUUGCAGGAAUGAAAUGAUGAAGGUUGUUGUCAUCUUUGAUAGUGGAGUGAAUAUUUUCUAUUCUUUCCUCCACCAGCUGUUCAAACUGAGGAGGUUAAUUUAUUAUUUGUUCUGUUGCAGAGUUUGUGCUGCAAAUCACAGUUUUACCCUUGUGGAAGGGUUUGUCUCUAAUUUAUAUCAUAGUUUUUGUUUGUAUACCUGUGUUCCUAAUUUCCAUAAUUCAAUCUUGAUUUGGAAUCUGUCGAUCUAUAUUCUCAGCACCGCGAUUUUAAUUUUGGGUGACUAUCUUAGCAACCCUUUUGUUUGCUUUUCAGCACCUAAGUUUGAUCAGUGAAGGCAACAUGGAGGGUUAGAGUUAAGGAAGAAAUUUUCUUGAAUCACUUCACAGAUAAAGUUUGGGAUCUUUCAGUUUAUGUUGUGUGGGUUGGAUCCAUAAGAUACCACAGCUUUUGAUGUUCUAUAAUUCACCGAAAGGAGUUAGUAGUUCGAUCCUUUUGAUUCUUAUCCUCCUUGUAACAGGCAUCCUGAGCAAUACGUUGUUUUACAUAUAAAUUUGAUUAUCCUAUUGUUUCUCUCUAUCUACAAUGUGUCAUUAAGGAGUUGAAGAAUAGUUAACUAGUAUGAGAAAAUCUCAUUUUUUGGUAUGGUAUUUAUUGUAUUAUUGUUAUCUAUUCAGACUGUUAGUUUCUUGAUCGCUUGUUUAUCAAGAAUGUGGCAUAUAGGAUGCACAUUAUUUUUUGAUAAGGACUGACUCGAACUUUUUGAAUCUUGUUGGUAACUGCUGCACUGAAGGGAAAAUGCAAACAAGGAGCAGGGGGAGGGCAGGGUAAGGAAACACGGGUGGGGAAACAUGGAUGGUCUAACAUACCUCAUGCAUGGGGACAUUGAGGGAAUUGGUGUGACAUAGUAGAAUAUCAAUGGGAUUAUUGACGGUUUUUGUGUACUAUAGGUUAUGGAGGUAAGUAGAUUAUGGAUUUGGUUAUCUGUGAUGAUCCUUUUUUUUAUUUUCAUAGGGUUGAAGGUAUCUGCUAGCUUGUAUUCAUCUUUAUGCAGUGGCAGUUCGUAAAGCAUAUAAUAUGGAGUCUAUUUUGUUAAGUGGCUUUGUAGCUUUAUCUCUUGGUUCCAGAAUAUAUUCAUUCCCAUUGAUCUGGUAAGCUUGUGACCAUCUCUCAUUUCUUUGACCUGCUCCUUGAUCAUUAUAGGAUGUAUGCACUAAUUGGAAUAUGAUGUGACCGUUUUCACUGCCAUCAUCCUUAGCCUUGAGUUUAGAAUCAGUUAUAGUUGUUUUCCCCUGAUACUUAAGAGUUUAUAUGAUAGGUUAACUUGUUAUUUCUGUUGUUGCAGAAAAGCCAGUGCAACUGGGAAACAAUCUAUUUCAGGGGUAUCUUGAUCUUGAACAUUAUAUAAAAACUGGAGUUUAAUGUUGUGAUUUUUUUGUUAAGGGGAUCGAAAUGUUUGUUAGUGGAGUUUACUAUAUUUUUUUGUUCACAAACUAUUCACAUGGAAGAUUAAUUUAUUAUUUCUUCUGUCGCAGACGUGCUUAUAUUGCAGGAUGCAAUUUUUCCAAGGUAGAAGAGCAGAGUGUGUCCUUUAUAUCCUAGUCAUUGUUUAUGUGCAUUGGUGUACCAAAUAGUCGCCUUGUUCCAUUAUUGGCUUGUGUUCUCUUAAUGGAUCUGGUCCCUUGGUAGAUUUUGGAAAAUCCUGGAUUAUGAUUUGUAAUGAGCUUCAUUUUCUUCCUGUUAGAUUUGCACUAUAUUUUUUCUUGUAUUGAUAAUCGUGCUGUUAUAUAUUGUAGGCAAUGGUGUGUCUUAGAACUGAUAUAAGUUCUUCUAUUGAUAAGUGACUUAGUAGCUGCUACACUUAAAUCUGGGUUUGUAUUUUCAUCCUUGUUCCAAUUACUCAAAUAUUUCUUUAUUAUUGGUAAUCCUGUCAUUUGCCUCACCAGAACUGUGAUUUGAUUCGUGAAGGCAUAAUGGAGCAAUCCAAGUGGAGCAGUGAUUUUUCGUGCAUUGGUGCAUAUGGGAAUUGAUAUAUAUUCUGCUACUGCUGACUGACUUAGUAUCUGUUAGUCUAUUCUGCUCAUCUUUGUUCCUCAUGCUCUAACUUUUGAUAUGGAUUAGUGUUCAUCUCUUUUGCUUCACUAGAAAAUUGAUUUGAUCUGUGAAGGCACCAUGGGGGAAUCUAAGGGAAGAAGCAAUUUGUAAUUAUGAGAGUAGUACUGUAGGUGACAUUUCAGCUGAUGAACGGAAGGGGCUCACUGGCUUAUGUCAUUUCAUUGUAUUUUAAUCAUCAUUUACAUACUGUUGGCUUCUUCAAUUUCAUUAUCAGUAUCAAGAUUAUUGGUGGUUUUACUCUAUUCUUGCUUGCAAGCGGAUGUAGAUUUCUUGAAGAUUUGCAUUUAUUAUGGUAGUGAGUUUCUUGAAGAUUUGCAGCAAUUUUUUUGACUUGGUUUUAGGGUUUACAGAAUUAGAAGCUGUUUGUUCUUGUUUGUGUGUUUGACAAUUGAAUCCGGUUUCGUGUGAUCUUCUUUUUGAAAAUAAUUCAAGUGGUCGAGUUUUUUUAUGGAACUGGGAGUGCUCUUUUGUUAAUCUACAGGCAUUUCUUGUAACGUGUUUUGAUCAGUUUUUGAAUAUCGCCAAUCCAACAAUAUGAGUUCAGACUUGCUUAUGAUUUUCCUGCUGCCAGUUUUACAGUUUUUGGCAUUCAUUUUUACAAUAUUAUUUGCAGUUUGAAAGCAUCACACAAGCAUUAUUUUGCAGCCUGAAGAGUGUUUUCUGAUGUUUCUGAUGCUAAUACUCAAAAGAGAUGUUCCUGAUUCCAAUUCAAUGUUACUUUAGAUUCCAUCUUCCGGUGUUGGACAAGAUAGGCAUGAUUCAGAGGCUGAAAUUGAGAUUGAAGAUUUGCAGUAGUUGAGGAAUCUUCUGUGACUUGGUUAUUAGGGUUCACAAAAUUAGGAGCUGUUUGUUCUUGUUUGAGGAUUUGACAGUUGAAUCUGGUUUAUUGUGAUUUAGUUUUCCUUUUUUCCCUAAAAAAGAAUCCAAGUGGUCAGGUUUUUUUCUUAUGGAAGUGGUAGUGCUCCAUUGGUAAUCUGCAGGAAUCAGCCAUGGUGUAUUCUGAUUGGACCUUUGAGUAUCGCCAAUCUGACAGUCCGAGUUCAGAUUUACUUCAUCAUUUUCUUGUAUUCAGUUGGAGCACUGGUGCCGGGGUUAUGAGUUUUAAGUAUUUAUUUUAAAAAUACUUUCAGCGUGCAAUCAUCGUGGAAGUGGUUUCUGAUGUUUCUGAUGUUGAUACUCAUGCUCGAUGCUUCUGAUUGUGAGUUGUUAUUUCAGUUUCCAUAUUCUGAUGUUGGACAUGAGAAGUCUUUCAUGGGGGUUUCUUCUUCUUUAUAGUUGUUUCUCUUCGUGUUUUUAUUUUUGUUUUUUCAAUUAAGGUUUUGUAUGGUUAUUAUCAUCUGUCUAUUCCCUGGGGAUUUCUUGAAGAUUUGCAGUAAUCAAGGGAACCGGGGAAUUCUUGGAGAUUUGCAGUGAAUUUCUUGAAGAUUGCAGUAAUUAAGGUAGCGAAUUUCUUGAGGAUUUGCAACAGUUAGGUAUUUCUGUAUGACAUGGUUUAGGGUUUGCAGAAUUAGAAGCAGUUUGUUCUUCUUUGAGAAUUCAUCGAUAUGAGGUUUGAACCUGUUUUUUCAUGAUUUUGGGUUUUUUUCUAAAAGGAAUUUAAGUGGUUCAGGUAUAUUAUGAAACUGGAAGUGCCUCUUCAUUAAUCUACAGGAAUCAGCAGUGUUGUGUUUUAAUUGGAUUCUGAUUGUUGCCCAUCCUACUGUACAAGUUCAGGCUUGCUUCAUUAUUUUCUUAUAUUUAGUUGAAGAAUUGUUGCGGGAUUAUGAAAUUUUAGUUUUUUUAAAAUAUAUUAAGGUCAGUUUGAAAACAUCACAGAAGCAUUAUCUUGCGGACCAGAGAAGCAUGAUUUAGAGGCUGGAAUUCAGAUAGAUUGAUUUCUUGUGAAGGGGGUUUGUCUAUUGCAUGGAUAUGAUGAAAAUAUUAUUGUGCAGGAAACAAAGACUUCUGAUGAUGUUCAUGCCUAAUCAUGGUUCUUGAUUCUUGAUGGUUGCUUUAGGUUCCAUCGUGAAAGGGAUGCCCUUGUUAUCCAAUUCAAACAAAAGAGAUGAUGUAGAGGCAGGGAAUCAGAUUGUUUCUUUUUGAGUGGAUUCCUUUUCCUUUUGUAUUAUUCUUUAUCAGAUUUUGUGAUUUGAAUAAUUGGUUUGAUUCUGAGAAGCAAUAUGCGAUCAGAGAGAUGAUUCAUUUAACCUCCUGUUUUUGAUGAAAUUUGCAGUUAUAUGCAUUGAAGUGUCAAAUUGCACUGAUUCUUUUUCCUGAUUAGAGCUAUCACAUGCUGGUUUGAUAGAAUGAUAAAUUCGAUUUCCUUGGCUUGCUGUCACUUCAUAGGUUAAGCAUUGUGGGAACAUGAUAUCUCUACUCUUCCUGCUGCUUAAUUGGUUGUUACUUGAGCUUACAUUGCUGACUGGUUCAUCUUGGUUUACCAGAAUACCGAGUCAUUACUUGAUGGAGAUGCAGAGGCUGGAGAAUGGAUCUCGGAUGGGAUUUGUUCAGCAAUAUAUGUUUCGGUUAUGGUGUACUUUCAUCAUGUUGAUCAAUCAGGGUUAUUGACCAAUUAACUUAGUGCAUUUGCUUUUUAUGAUUCAGAAGAUGUCCUACUCCUUUUUGUCCCACGUGUUGUUGAGUGUGGCCAUUACUUCUGUUGUUACUGUAGUAUUUGGAAGGAUGUGGUGGGCAUCAUCUUCAAAAGGUUGGAUCAUUCGAUGCCUCCCUAGAUACACGGUAUUUGAGGUAUUCAUUAUUGGUCAGGACUACUUUUUCCCCUUGUAUAUUGAUUUUAUAGGACUCAUCCACCUUCCAAGUCCUUUCACAGUUCUUCUUCAUUCUUGGGUUGUAUUAUUGGCUCAUCUUUCUGAUCCAUUAGUGCUCACAAUCAUGGUUUAUGCGUUAUUUGCGGUUCUCUGGUGUAUUUGUGCUCUUGCAUGUCUUUUCCAUUCUCCCUCCAAGCAAGUUUAGGUUUGUCUGUUAUAAUUCUGAUACACUGCAUCUGCUACUAUACUUUCGGUGGUGAUCCCUUUUACAUCGGGUGCUUAUCUAGAUCUGGGAUAAUCUUGAUUUCUUGGUUAAUGUCAUGCAAUAUAUCAUCUUGUGAUUGAUGUUGGCAGUUGUUUCAUGAUUUCCUGUUGCAUCGGUGGCCUGGCGAUUCUCUCAUUUUCGACCAACACCUUGAGUUCUUAAUACAAUCUGGCUCCAUUGCAGAGUAUAUUUGUUUUUUCAUGAAGGGUUUUCUCGCUUUGAUUAUUGAAUUGAUUGUGCUAAUUUUUGGCCUUUAUGCUUUUAGUUCAGGUCUUUCUUAGUUUGUUAUUUGUGAUGUUGCAGAAGAGCUUACGCAACUUGGGAAAAUCUUGCUGAAGGGGUAUCUUCAUCUGAUAAUUGAAGGAAGCGCAGAGGAAAUGGAAUGCAAUGAUAUGUUUUUUUUUUUUUUUUACUGAAUUGAGUUUCUAAUCUUGAUAGCGGGGUUCAUUAUGCUUGCCUUUUCGUGCGGUAGCUGCUCAUGUGGAAACAUAAAGGUUAAUUUAUUAUUUGUGCUGUUGCAGUUUAGCUUGUGCUGCAGGAUACAAUUUUGCCCCAUAUUAGCCAAUAUAGACGAUUCAUAUCAUUGUUUGUAUAUGAUGCCUAUAUGUUUUUAAUCACCCUUUUUUCUAAAAGGAAUUUAAGUGGUUCAGGUAUAUUAUGAAACUGGAAGUGCCUCUUCAUUAAUCUACAGGAAUCAGCAGUGUUGUGUUUUAAUUGGAUUCUGAUUGUUGCCCAUCCUACUGUACAAGUUCAGGCUUGCUUCAUGAUUUUCUUAUAUUUGGUUGAAGAAUUGUUGGGGGAUUAUGAAAUUUUAGUUUUUUUUAAAUAUAUUAAGGUCCAUUUGAAAAUACCACAGAAGCAUUAUCUUGCGGACCAGAGAUGCAUGAUUUAGAGGCUGGAAUUCAGAUAGAUUGAUUUCUUGUGAAGGGGGUUUGUCUAUCGCAUGGAUAUGAUGAAAAUAUUAUUGUGCAGGAAGCAAAGACUUCUGAUGAUGUUCAUGCCUAAUCAUGGUUCUUGAUUCUUGAUGGUUGCUUUAGGUUCCAUCGUGAAAGGGAUGCCCUUGUUAUCCAAUUCAAACAAAAGAGAUGGUGUAGAUGCAGGGAAUCAGAUUGUUUCUUUUCGAGUGGAUUCCUUUUCCUUUUGUAUUAUUCUUUAUCAGAUAUUGUGUUUUGAAUAAUUGGUUUGAUUCUGAGAAGAUAUAUGCGAUCAGAGAGAUGAUUCAUUUAACCUCCUGUUUUUUAUGAAUUUUGCAGUUAUAUUCAUUGAAGUGUCAAAUUGCACUGAUUCUUUUACCUGAUUAGAGCUAUCACAAGCUGGUUUGAUAGAAUGAUAAAUUCGAUUUCCUUGGCUUGCUGUCACUUCAUAGGUUAAGCAUUGUGGGAACAUGAUAUUUCUACUCUUCCUGCUGCUUAAUUGGUUGUUACUUGAGCUUACAUUGUUGACUGGUUCAUCUUGGUUUACCAGAAUACCGAGUCAUUACUUGUUGGAGAUGCAGACGCUGGAGAAUGGAUUUCGGAUGUGGGAUUUGUUCACCAAUAUAAUAUAUAUUUCGAUUAUGGUGUACUUUCAUCAUGUUGAUCAAUCAGGGUUAUUGACAAAUUAACUUAGUGCAUUUGCUUUUUAUGAUUCAGAGGAUGCUGCAAAUAGAAGCAAAAGAUGUCCUACUCUUUUUUGUCCCAUGUGUUGUUGAGUGUGGCCAUUACUUCUGUUGUUACUGUAGUAUUUGGAAGGAUGUGGUGGGCAUCAUCUUCAAAAGGUUGGGUCAUUCGAUGCCUUCCUAGAUACAAGGUAUUUGAGGUUUUCAUUAUUGGUCAGGACUACUUUUUCCCCUUGUAUAUUGAUUUUAUAGGACUCAUCCACCUUUCAAGUCCUUUCACAGUUCUUCUUCAUUCUUGGGUUGUAUUAUUGGCUCAUCUUUCUGAUCCAUUAGUGCUCACAAUCGUGGUUUAUGCGUUAUUUGCGGUUCUCUGGUGUAUUUGUUCUCUUGCAUUUCUUUUCCAUUCUCCCUCCAAGCAAGUUUAGGUUUGUCUGUUAUAAUUCUGAUACACUGCAUCUGCUAUUAUACUUUCGGUGGUGAUCCCUUUUACAUCGAGUGCUUAUCUAGAUCUGGGAUAAUCUUGAUUUCUUGGUUAAUCUCAUGCAAUAUAUCAUCUUGUGAUUGAUGUUGGCAGUUGUUUCAUGAUUUCCUGUUGCAUCAGUGGCCUGGCGAUUCUCUCAUUUUCGACCAACACCUUGAGUUCUUAAUACAAUCUGGCUCCAUUGGAGAGUAUAUUUGUUUUUUCAUGAAGGGUUUUCUCGCUUUGAUUAUUGAAUUGAUUGUGCUAAUUUUUGGCCUUUAUGCUUUUAGUUCAGGUCUUUCUUAGUUUGUUAUUUGUGAUGUUGCAGAAGAGCUUACGCAACUUGGGAAAAUCUUGCUGAAGAGGUAUCUUCAUCUUAUAAUUGAAGGAAGCGCCGAGGAAAUGGAAUGCAAUGAUAUGUUUUUUUUUUUUACUGAAUAGAGUUUCUAAUCUUGAUAGCGGGGUUCAUUAUGCUUGCCUUUUCGUGCGGUAGCUGCUCAUGUGGAAACAUAAAGGUUAAUUUAUUAUUUGUGCUGUUGCAGUUUAGCUUGUGCUGCAGGAUACAAUUUUGCCCCAUAUUAGCCAAUAUAGAAGGAAUCGUCCUUAUUUAUAUCAUUGUUUGUAUUUGAUGCCUAUAUGUUUUUAAUCACCCUUUUUUCUCAAUAGGGUUUUCUUUUGGGCUCAUAUUUUAGCAAUCCUUUUAUUUGCUUCACCAGAACCUUGAUUUGAUCUGUGAAGGGCGAUACUAGAGGAAUUAGUGUUAAGAAAGGAUUUUUCAUGAUGAGGAUUCCUCACUUCCCCUGAUAAUCUAGGGGUCACGGUAUGUGGGGCUUGACAUGGGAUGCUAUCUUGAUAAGUGGAUCUGCUGCUUAUAUGCUUUGUCAAGUUUCAUUUCUGUAUUCCAGAAAUCUCAUUCAUUUGUGUUAUUAAUAACCUGGUGAUGUUCUCUUAUUUUUUUGACCAGAACCGUCAGCUCUCAAGACAUCUGUGUGGAUUGGAUCAUGAUAUGUGCUUUUGAUGGAGCGUGUUCCUCAACCUUUAUCAUAGAAUUGGUAAUAUUUCCCAUUUGUUCUUAAACUUAGAGUUCAAGUCAUAGGAUUGGUAUUUCUGAUGUCACAGAGAGCUUGCACAACAUCAGGUUAUCUUGCUCAAGUGCAUCUUUACCUGAUAAUGAAGACAGUUCGAAGGAAAUGUAAUGAUAUGAUUUUCUAUGGAGGGAGUUUCUCAUCUUUGAUAGACUACUUUUUCGUGCACUAGCUGUUCAUGGGGAACGUUGGAAGUUACUGUAUGGUUUGUGUUGUUGCAGUAACUUUGCUGUAGGUUAUUAUUUUGCCCAUGUGGAAGGGUUUGUCCUUAUUUAUAGCUUGGCCAUUUUCAACAUUAAUUUAUAAUUUGUCAAUCUUUGUUCUGAGCGCUGAAAGUUUGAGUAACUGGGAUUAAGGAAGGGUUUUUAAUGAAGGUGCUUCCUUCCACAAAUUCUUUAGGAGUCCAUGAUCUCAUUCAUCCCUGUUGAGUUGGUGACCUUGUGAGCUUCUCUCAUUUGUUUGACUUACUUGAGCGCUUGAGAGAUUUUGGGUGAAAGAGAGAAGGUAUGUUUUUUUUAAACUAUGGAGUGGGUUCCUUAAGCUCAUUAAUUUGUUACUGCUGGCAUUGCAUAGGAGCCUGUGCAUCGUGGGCAAUCUUGCUCAAAGGUACUCUUGAUCUGAUAAUGGAAAAUGGUUUGGAGGAAUGAAUUGAUGAAGGUUGUUCGUCAUCUUUGAUAGCGGAGUGAAUAUUUUCUAUUCUUUCCUCCACCAGCUGUUCAAAUUGAGGAGGUUAAUUUAUUAUUUGUUCUGUUGCUGAGUUUGUGCUGCAAAUCACAGUUUUACCCUUGUGGAAGGGUUUGUCUCUAAUUUAUAUCAUAGUUUUUGUUUGUAUACCUGUGUUCCUAAUUUCCAUAUUUCAAUCUUAAUUGGGAAUCUGUCGAUCUAUAUUUUCAGCACCGUGAUUUUAUUUUUGGGUGACUAUCUUAGCAACCCUUUUGUUCGCUUUUCAGCACCUCAGUUUGAUCAGUGAAGGCAACAUGGCGGGUUAGAGUUAAGGAAGAAAUUUUCAUGAAUCACUUCGCAGAUAAAGGUUGGGAUCUUUCAGUUUAUGUUGUGUGGGUUGGAUCCAUAAGAUACCACAGCUUUUGAUGUUCUAUAAUUCACCGAAAUGAGUUGGUAGUUCGAUCCUUUUGAUUCUUAUCCUCCUUGUAACAGGCAUCCUGAGCAAUACGUUGUUUUACAUAUAAAUUUGAUUAUGCUAUUGUUUCUCUCUAUCUACAAUGUGUCAUUAAAGAGUUGAAGAAUAGUUAACUAGUAUGAGAGCAUCUCAUUUUUUGGUACGGUAUUUAUUGUAUUAUUGUUAUCUAUUCAGACUGUUAGUUUCUUGAUUGCUUGUUUAUCAAGAAUGUGGCAUAUAGGAUGCACAUUAUUUUUUGAUAAGGUCUGACUCGAACUUUUUGAAUCUUGUUGGUAACUGCCGCACUGAAGGGAAAAUGCAAACAAGGAGCAGGGGGAGGGCAGUAAGGAAAUAUGGGUGGGGAAACAUGGAUGGUCUAACAUACCUCAUUCAUGGGGACAUUGAGGGAAUUGGUGUUACAUAGUAUAAUAUCAUUGGGAUUAUUGAUGGUUUUUGUGUACUAUAGGUUAUGGAGGUAAGUAGAUUAUGGGUUUGGUUAUCUGUGAUGAUCCUUUUUUUUUAUUUUCAUAGGGUUGAAGGUAUCUGCUAGCUUGUAUUCAUCUUUAUGCAGUGCCAGUUCAUAAAGCAUAUAAUAUGGAGUCUAUUUUGUUUAGUGGCUUUGUAGCUUUGUCUCUUGGUUCCAGAAUAUAUUCAUUCCCAUUUAUCUAGUAAGCUUGCGAUCAUCUCUCAUUUCUAUGACCCGCUCCUUGAUCAUUAUAGGAUGUAUGCACUAAUUGGAGUAUGAUAUGACCAUUUUCACUGGCAUCAUUUUUAGCCUUGAGUUUAGAAUCAGUUAUAGUUGUUUUCUCCUGAUACUUAAGAGUUUAUAUGAUAGGAUAACUUGUUAUUUCUGUUGUUGCAGAAAAGCCAGUGCAAGUGGGAAACAAUCUAUCUCAGGGGUAUCUUGAUCUUGAAGGCUAUAUAAAAACUGGAGUUUAAUGUUGUGAUUUUUUAUUAAGGGGAUCGAAAUGUUUGUUAGUGGAGUUUACUAUAUUUUUUUGUUCACAAACUAUUCACAUGGAAGAUUAAUUUAUUAUUUCUGCCGUCGCAGAUGUGCUUGUAUUGCGGGAUGCAAUUUUUCCAAGGCAGAAGAGCAGGGUGUGUCCUUUAUAUCCUAGUCAUUGUUUUUGUGCAUUUGUGUACCAAAUAGUCGCCCUGUUCCAUUAUUGGCUUGUGUUCUCUUAAUGGGUCUGGUCCCUUGGUAGAUUUUGGAAAAUGCUGGAUUAUGAUUUGUAAUGAGCUUUAUUUUCUUCCUGUUAGAUUUGCACUAUACUUUUUCUUGUAUUGAUAAUCGUGCUAUUAUAUAUUGUAGGCAAUGGUGUGUCUUAGAAGUUAGAGCUGAUAUAAGUUCUUCUUUUGAUAAGUGACUUAGUAGCUGCUAGACUUAAAUCUGGGUUUGUUUUUUCAUCCUUGUUCCAAUUACUCAAAUAUUUCUUUAUUAUUGGUAAUCCUGUCGUUUUCCUCACCAGAACUAUGAUUUGAUUCGUGAAGGCAUAAUGGAGCAAUCCAAGUGGAGCAGUGAUUUUUCGUGCAUUGGUGCAUAUGUGAAUUGAUUUUUAUUCUGCUACUGCUGAGUGACUUAGUAUCUGUUAGUCUAUUCUGUUCAUCUUUGUUCCUCAUGCUCUAACUUUUGAUAUGGAUUACUCUUUUGCUUCACUAGAAAUUUGAUUUGAUCUGUGAAAGCAUCAUGGGGGAAUCCAAGGGAAGAAGCAAUUUGUAAUUAUGAGAGUAGUACUGUAGGUGACAUUUCAGCUGAUGAACAGAGGGGGCUCACUGGCUUAUGUCAUUUCAUUGUAUUUUAAUCAUCAUUUACAUACUGUUGGCUUCUUUAAUUUCAUUAUCAGUAUCAAUAUUAUUGGUGGUUUUACUCUAUUCUUGCUUGCAAGCGGAUGUAGAUUUCUUGAAGAUUUGCAUUUAUUAUGGUAGUGAGUUUCUUGAAGAUUUGCAGCAAUUUUUUUGACUUGGUUUUAGUGUUUACAGAAUUAGAAGCUGUUUGUUCUUGUUUGUGUGUUUGACAAUCGAAUAUGGUUUCUUGUGAUCUUCUUUUUGAAAAUAAUGCAAGUGGUUGAGUUUUUUUUUGGAACUGGGAGUGCUCUUUUGUUAAACUACAGGCAUUUCUUGUAAUGUGUUUUGAUCAGUUUUUGAAUAUCGCCAAUCCAACAAUAUGAGUUCAGACUUGCUUAUGAUUUUCCUGCUGCCAGUUUUACAGUUUUUGGUAUUCAUUUUUACAAUAUUAUUUUCAGUUUGAAAGCAUCACACAAGCAUUAUUUUGCAGCCUGAUGAGUGUUUUCUGAUGUUUCUGAUACUAAUACUCGAAAGAGAUGUUCCUGAUUCCAAUUCAAUGUUACUUUAGAUUCCAUCUUCCAGUGUUGGACAAGAUAGGCAUGAUUCAGAGGCUGAAAUUGAGGUUGGAGAUUUGCAGUAGUUGUGGAAUCUUCUGUGACUUGGUUGUUAGGGUUCACAAAAUUAGGAGCUGUUUGUUCUUGUUUGAGGAUUUCACAGUUGAAUCUGGUUUAUUGUGAUUUAGUUUACUUUUUUUUUUCCCUAAAAAAGAAAAUCCAAGUGGUCAGGUUUCUUUCUUAUGGAAGUGGUAGUGCUCCAUUGUUAAUCUGCAGGAAUCAGCCAUGGUGUAUUCUUAUUGGAUCUUUGAGUAUUGCCAAUCCGACAGUCCGAGUUCAGAUUUACUUCAUGAUUUUCUUGUAUUCAGUUGAAGCACUGGUGCCGGGGUUAUGAGUUUUAAGUAUUUAUUUUAAUAAUCCUUUCAGCGUGCAAUCUUCGUGGAAGGGGUUUCUGAUGUUGAUACUCAUGCUUGAUGCUUCUGAUUGUGAGUUGUUAUUUCAGUUUCCAUAUUUUGAUGUUGGACAUGAGAAGUCUUUCAUGGGGGUUUCUUCUUCUUUAUAGUUGUUUCUCUUCGUAUUUUUAUUUUUAUUUUUAUUUUUUCAAGUAAGGUUUUGUAUGGUUAUUAUCAUCUGUCUAUUCCCUGGGGAUUUCUUGAAGAUUUGCAGUAAUCUAGGGAACCAGGGAAUUCUUGGAGAUUUGCAGUGAAUUUCUUGAAGAUUUUCUUGAAGAUUGCAGUAAUUAAGGUUUCGAAUUUCUUGAGGAUUUGCAAUAGUUUGGUAUUUCUCUAUGACAUGGUUUAGGGUUUGCAGAAUUAGAGGCAGUUUGUUCUUCUUUGAGAAUUCGUCGAUAUGAGGUUUGAACCCAUUUUUUCGUGAUUUUGGUUUCCUUUUUGAAAAGGAAUUUAAUUGGUUCAGGUAUCUUAUGAAACUGGAAGUGCCUCUUCAUUAAUCUACAGGAAUCAGCAGUGUUGUGUUUUAAUUGGAUUCUGAUUGUUGCCCAUCCGACUGUGCAAGUUCUGGCUUGCCUCAUGAUUUUCUUAUAUUUGGUUGAAGAAUUGUUGUGGGAUUAUGAAAUUUUAGUUUUUUUUAAAAUAUAUUAAGGUCAGUUUGAAAACAUCAGAGAAGCAUUAUCUUGCAGACCAGGGAAGCAUGAUUUUGAGGCUGGAAUUCAGAUAGAUUGAUUUCUUGUGAAGGGGGUUUGUCUAUCGCUUGGAUAUGAUGAAAAUAUUAUUGUGCAAGAAACAAAGACUUCUGAUGAUGUUCAUGCCAAAUCAUGGUUCUUGAUUCUUGAUGGUUGCUUUAGGUUCCAUCGUGAAAGGGAUGCCCUUGUUAUCCAAUUCAAACAAAAGAGAUGAUGUAGAGGCAGGGAAUCAGAUUGUUUCUUUUUGAGUGGAUUCCUUUUCCUUUCGUAUUAUUCUUGAUCAGAUAUUGUGAUUUGAAUAAUUGGUUCGAUUCUGAGAAGCAAUAUGUGAUCAGAGAGAUGAUUCAUUUAACCUCCUGUUUUUGAUGAAAUUUGCAGUUAUAUCCAUUGAAGUGUUAAAUUGCAUUGAUUCUUUUACCUGAUUAGAGCUAUCACUUGCUGGUUUGAUAGAAUGAUAAAUUCCAUUUCCUUGGCUUGCUGUCACUUCAUAGGUUAAGCAUUGUGGGAACAUGAUAUUUCUAUUCUUCCUGCUGCUUAAUUGGUUGUUACUUGAGCUUACAUUGCUGCUGGUUCAUCUUGGUUUACCAGAAUACCGAGUCAUUACUUGAUGGAGAUGCAGAGGCUGGAGAAUGGAUCUCGGAUGGGAUUUGUUCACCAAUAUAUAUUUCGAUUUUGGUGUACUUUCAUCAUGUUGAUCAAUCAGGGUUAUUGACAAAUUAACUUAUUGCAUUUGCUUUUUAUGAUUCAGAGGAUGCUGCAAAUAGAAGCGAAAGAUGUCCUACUCUUUUUUGUCCCAUAUGUUGUUUAAUGUGGCCGUUAGUUCUGUUGUUACUGUAGUAUUUGGAAGGAUGUGGUGCACAUCAUCUUCAAAAGGUUGGGUCAUUCGAUGCCUCCCUAGAUACAAGGUAUUUGAGGUUUUCAUUAUUGGUCAGGACUAUUUUUUCUCCUUGUAUAUUGAUUUUUUAGGACUCAUCCACCUUCCAAGUCCUUUCACAGUUCUUCUUCAUUCUUGGGUUGUAUUAUUGGCUCAUCUUUCUGAUCCAUUAGUGCUCACAAUCGUGGUUUAUGCGUUAUUUGCGGUUCUCUGGUGUAUUUGUGCUCUUGCAUGUCUUUUUCAUUCUUCCUCCAAGCAAGUUUAGGUUUGUCUGUGAUAAUUCUGAUACACACUGCAUCUGCUACUAUACUUUCGGUGGUGAUCCCUUUUACAUCGAGUGCUUAUCUAGAUCUGGGAUAAUCUUGAUUUCUUGGUUAAUCUCAUGCAAUAUAUCAUCUUGUGAUUGAUGUUGGCAGUUGUUUCAUGAUUUCCUGUUGCAUCAGUGGCCUGGUGAUUCUCUCAUUUUCGACCAACACCUUGAGUUCUGAAUACAAUCUGGCUCCAUUGGAGAGUAUAUUUGUUUUUUCAUGAAGGGUUUCCUCACUUUGAUUAUUGAAUUGAUUGUGGUAAUUUUUGGCCUUUAUGCUUUUAGUUCAGGUCUUUCUUAGUUUGUUAU
rnacentral:lncRNA from 1 species